UAAUGUGCCUAAAAUUCAUCCUUUGCCUUUAAAAACUGUAAGUCCCUCAGAACAUAAUUGAAGUUUCUGCCUGAAUUUUUAUCUCCCCAAUUGCAAUUCCUAAGACCCCAAAUAAGCACUUUCUUUUACAGCUUUGCUUUAUUGUUUUACAGCCUUGUCUUUUCUUAUUUGGCAAAAGAUAACUGUAAUUUUCCUUAAUAUCUCCAAUGUCCAGACUAUAUUCAAGUUUCACAGACAUCUUCUAAACUUUUUUUUGUUUAUGUAUUUAUUUUGAGAGUGGGGGAAGGGUCAGGGAGAGAGGGAGAGAGAAUCCCAAGCAGGCUCCAUGCUGUGCUGGUAGGAGACAACCAUGAGAUCAUGACCUGAAUGGAAACCAAGAGUCAGUUGCCUAACUGACUGAGCCACCCAGGUGCCCCUCAAAUGUUUUUAAAAUGCAGAAAAGCCAUAGAAAUCACCUCAACCUCAGGGGAUGAGGUUUGAAUGUAGGAGUAGUAGCCUUGAAUCCCACUGACUCAAGUACAUACUUCUGGGACCAUUCUCUUUGGCUUCUUUUGCAUUUGUGCAUCCCUCAUUCCACCUCCCUUUUCUGGUAUUCACUGGUAGGGCAUCUCUGAGCUUUGUUGUGUUUGCUCCUGUGCAGGGUGAGCACCAGGAGGUUACCCCUAGGACCUUUUGGGGUCUGCAGCAGGGGGAGUGACCCCAGCCCUUUCAGCUCUGUCUGGACACAAGUGGAUCCAGACUCUUCCUCUGGAGCAGGUGUCCUUGAGGGCUGGAUGUAUGGACCCUGUGCUUGAAUUCCACCUCUGUCACCUUUAAGCCAGGUGACAAAUCCACAAUGACAGAAAGAACCUGGCUGGACCACAGUUCUCUACACUCUCUUGAGACUCAGAAAAAGAACACAUCUCAGGAUCAGAAGGUUUACAAACAUGAUGAACGUGCAGAAAGAGACAAGAAACAGUGAACAUUAACUCAUGUGUGUGAGACAAAAGGCAGCAGUGUCCUACAAGGACAUGACUACAGAGUUUACCCAGGAGGACUGGAAGCAGCUGGACCCUGCUCAGAGGACCAGUAUAGAAAUCUGAUGCUGGACAACUACAGCCACUGUCCCAGUGGCAAGCACACCUUACCAUGUGACUUCCUCAAGAAUGUAUCUAUUUGUUCUUUUUUAAUAUUAAUCGCAUUUGUAGAAGUAUAUUUAACAGCAAUUUUUAUUGUCCAGUUCACUGAAUUUUGAGAAAUAAAUGCAGUUGAUUUCUACCACCAAAAUCAUAGUGUCCUUGUAACCCUUGCUGUCAUUCCCAUCCUUGUUCUAUUCCCGCCCCUCAGGGCCCUAGCAGCCACUAGAAACCACUCUUCUGCUUUCUAUCAUAAUUGUUUGGACUUUUUUACAAUUAUAUAUAAUGGAAUGAUACAGUGUAUACUCUCCUUUGGUUUAUUUCACUUGGCAUAAUGCUUUUAUAAGGCAUGUUGAUUGUAGAUCAGUAGUUUAUUCUUUUUAUUCCUGAGUCAUAUUCAUUUGUGUACAUAUACCACAAUCUGUUAUCCACUUCACAAUUGA